rnacentral:rRNA from 1 species
UACAGAGGGUGCGAGCGUUAAUCGGAAUUACUGGGCGUAAAGGGCGUGUAGGCGGUGACAUGAGUGUGAUGUGAAAGCCCUGGGCUUAACCUAGGAAGUGCAUUGCAACGAUGUUACUGGAGUAUAUGAGAGGGUGGCGGAAUUUCCGGUGUAGCGGUGAAAUGCGUAGAGAUCGGAAGGAACGUCGAUGGCGAAGGCAGCCACCUGGCAUAAUACUGACGCUGAGGCGCGAAAGCGUGGGGAGCGAACAGG